AUGCUCAUGACAUUAAGUUUAAAAGAACAUGUAUUAGCAAGUGAUAGAAAUGGGAUUGUACCCAUGUCUGCUGUGUUCCAAAAUCUAUGGCAGAGUCCAGGGUGGUUUGGAAGGACGAAAAAUGCAGAGAAAAGACAGAUCUGUUUUCUCCUACUCAGAAGGCGUGGAGAGAAAUCCAAGUUCUCCAAAAAAGAGACGGAAUGCUGUUCUACCUCACUGUUCACUCCUGCUUCAAACUUUAACUUUCGGACUCACAUCGUUUUUAGAACGUUAAACCAUUUUUCAAAGACAUUAGCCUCCCAAGAAGUAGUGAGGACAACGGAGUUAUAACAUUGAAAACAACCCAGAGUGUUUGCAGCAUCUUAAACUGCUCUCCCUGGACACUCCAAUCCUCCGAAGAGAAGUUUGGGAAGACACGAGCUGUUGAGAAGCUGCCAGUUAAGAAGUCAGUGCGGAAGCCACUUUCAACCAGAGUUGUGUAAUCAGAACUGUUGGUCCUAAGUAUGUGUUUGAGUAAUGUAUUAAAUGGCAUUAACAUGGACAGUAAAACUCUUGCAUUAUUUUCUUCCCUGGGGACAUAUAAUGCAAAACUUCAUUCACUGGAGCCAGUUUGGUAAAUGGGGCAGAAAAUGCCUGUAGAACUGAUGUAAUGUUAUGAAAAAAGUGGAGCAUAAGAUGGCAUAUAAACUCUUAAUGGCAUUGUUUCCUAGAUUCUCCAUGUGCAACAAAGUGGAUGGUGUUGCUGCUUUUAAGGGAAC
rnacentral:lncRNA from 1 species